rnacentral:rRNA from 1 species
UACGGGGGGAGCAAGCGUUGUUCGGAUUUACUGGGCGUAAAGGGCGCGUAGGCGGCCACCGCAAGUCGAUUGUGAAAUCUCCGGGCUUAACCCGGAAAGGUCAACCGAUACUGCGGGGCUAGAGUGCAGAAGGGGCAACUGGAAUUCUCGGUGUAGCGGUGAAAUGCGUAGAUAUCGAGAGGAACACCUGCGGCGAAGGCGGGUUGCUGGGCUGACACUGACGCUGAAGUGCGAAAGCUAGGGAGCGAACGGG